GCAGUAAAGAUGACUUUAAAGACGGGCGGGGGAUGGAUCCUUUCAAACGUACUUGAGCUGGGAUGCCCAGCUUGUGGAACGCACAGCAGGAGGUGAGCAGUGGCCGAAGGAACAUCUGAAGGAACACCUGACGAGGCUGCACCCUUGGCAGAAAGAACACCUGACAUGGCUGAAAGCUUGGUGGAAAAACCACCUGAUGAGGCUGCACCCUUGGUGGAGGGAACAGCUGACAAAAUUCAAUGUUUGGGGAAAGCAACAUCUGGAAAGUUUGAACAGUCAGCAGAAGAAACACCUAAGAAAAUUAUGAGGACUGCAAAAGAAACAUCUGAGAAAUUUGCAUGGCCAGCAAAAGAAAGACCUAGGAAGAUCACAUGGGAGGAAAAAGAAACAUCUGUAAAGACUGAAUGCGUGGCAGGAGUAACACCUAAUAAAACUGAAGUUUUGGAAAAAGGAACAUCUAAGAUGCUCACAUGUCCUACAAAAGAAACAUCUACAAAAGCAAGUACAAAUGUGGAUGUGAGUUCUGUAGAGUCUAUAUUCAGAUAAGAUGCCCACAUCAGAGUCAGGACAAAAAGAAGAUACGAAAUCACCUUCAGUUUCUGAGACAGAUUCAACUAACCUAUCAAAAUUCUUGGGUGCAGUUCCUUCUCAUGAAAGAGCAAGGGAACUUAAAAAAUAUCACUGUGAACAACUUACAGCAAAAAUAAAACAAAUGAAAAAUAAGUUUUGUGUACUACAAAAGGAACUAUCAGAAGCAAAAAUAAAAUUGCAGUAAGUGAAUCAAAAGGUUAAAUGUGAACAAGAGCUCUGCAGUGUGAGUUCAACAAAGAGAGUGUGAAAC
rnacentral:lncRNA from 1 species